rnacentral:lncRNA from 1 species
GAUGAAGUAAAAUAUUUACAAUCAGGGCAGUCAGAUGGGAGAACACUCAAGGGGUACAGCCAAGGCUGUGAGGUCACAGCAGGCUCUGGGGUUACACAGGUUGAGGUCACGGCAGGCUCUGAGGUCACAGAGGUGGCAGAGCCCCGUGGUUGCACAGCACCACAAGGACGGAGCAGUCAGUCCUUUACGACUGUUGCAGCAGCAGCGGCGGCUAUGGCAGCGGUGCUGACACUGGGACAGCGUUGUGAGGACAGUGGUGGCAGCAAGAGUUGGAGGACUGGCAGUGGGCAAGGCACCAUGGCCUUUGCUCUGCGCCUCUUCCUCCUGCUCCUCCUGGCAGUGGCCCUGCCUGACAGGGCUGCCCAGGCUGCUCCCUGGCGAGCACAGGGAGCAGAUUGGAAUCAUCACAUGGAUUACCUGGAAGUAAUGAAUGAUGGCUUGAAAUUCUUGGAGGAUGUUGGAGCCAAGCCUCUUGGUGAAGACAAUGUAGCUUCUCAUCCAACACCAAAUACUGAGGCUGUGGGAGAUGGUGAGGUUACAGGUGUGUCUGCAGGGAGGACUUUGCCAGCUCCUGGGAUGGUUACUCCACACAAGCCCAGCUCCCAGGGUAAGUGGUGUGUCAUGGCUGACCCCACAGACUGAGCACUGGUUUUGGGGGAUCCAAUCCUGGGAAAUGGAAAUAUUCUGUUCUAAGGUCCUCCAAGAGAGAAGACCCAAGAUACAGCAUUAAAGAAAACCCUGAAACGAUCUGAACAUAUAUGGCAAAUGCUGAAGGAAAUGCUGCAGGAGGACAAGGUCGGUCUGUGUCCCUCAGCUUUCUCCUGACACUCAGCAGCCGGGGGCUUUCUCUGCACAUCUGGACACGCCGUGCCCGGCACUGCAGGAAGGGAUCCAUGGCAGCCUCUCUGCCCCCUGCUACUUUCACGGCCUGCAGGGCUGUUUCCCAGCCUGGCCUGGCUGCAGCUUCUCCCCAGCCUCAGCAGGAAGGCAUUUGGCAUUGGCUGACAGGGAGCCCAAACUGCACCACAGGCCAUGCACACCCUGAGAUCCCCUGCAAUUUCUCAGUUGCUGAGUAGAUCAGGUCGAGGGGCUGUUUGGUGAAGGGACCAACCAGGGAUAAUCCUGAAAUCCUGGGUGUUUGCUGAUCCUCAUCCAUGCCUUUCACAAAUAUUGCCUCCUGAAGAUGGCACCUCCACAAUGAGGAACAGCCCCAUCUGAUCCAGCUGUCCCUCUUCCAUUCUCCAGAAAUGAAACGAGAGCCUGUGCAGCAGGAAACAAUUACUGAAGGAAUCAGUGACUCUGUGCCAGCCUCUGCUGCAGGAAGGGAGGCCAUGCCAGGCACAGUAACAAAAGGUAAUUGCUGUGCCUCUGGGCCUGAGCCCUGCUGAGGCUUGAGCUGCCAUCUCUGCUGCUUGGCAGUGCCUGCCCUUCAGGGAUGUUGCACAGAGCAUGGAAAGGGUGUUGAGAGUGACCAGGAGGCAGCCCAGAGCUCCCCUGGCCCCUCUGCAGCUUUGGCCAUGUCCACUGACACCUGGCUCCCACGGCCUUACCCAGCCCCAUUGCAGUGCCCAGUUCCCUAAGGCUGAAGGAUAUCUCAGCACACUCUGAAAAAGGUUCUCAUCUGUGCUCCCUUCCAGAUAAG